rnacentral:rRNA from 1 species
GGAUUAGAUACCCUAUUAUUAGGAGCCUUUCCAGCUGGUGGAGUACCAAAGGGAUAAAAACAUUGUACAUGGCGGUCUACUACAUCUCCCUAGAGAAGCAUGCCCGUAAAUGAAAUUGCCCAAAAGCUUCUUCUUCCUUUAGCUAAAACAUCCUGUACACUGCUAUCGGAAAGAUUGGGUAAAUUGUUAAUCCUACCUUCUGUUUAUGAGAAAUAAGGUAAGUAAGGUGCAGACUAUGAGGAAGUAAGGUGUGCCUCAUUCAUACUGAUGGAAGAAGGUUAAAUAUUCCUUAAGUAAAAAGAAUUUAGCAGUAAAAGUUGGACAUAAGACUACUUUGAACAUGCUAUUGUAGACGUACACAUCGCCC